CCGGCAUUUCGGAGGGGUUUACCUGAAUUCAAAUUGUAUUUAUGGGAAAAACUACAGCUACAAACAGCUCGUUUACGAUGUUACUAUUGAAAGUAUUUUUUAAUUUUAAUUAAAAGGUCUCCGAUAUCAAAAUUCUAUUUGCGGUCCAUAUUAGAUGAAUUGUCAGACCGCACUGAUCAGUUUGUAUUUUGUGAUUGGUAUAUUCCUCGUUCUGUGGAAGACAGACCCGUUCAGACACUGAGGGAGAGCAGAGAGGAGAUGUGGAGUGGCUGCUAACAGCUCUCACCUGAAGAGAAGAAAGGACACAUUCACUGAGGAGACGGUCAGAGCGAGUGACUAGAGCACUAGAGCCGUGCUACACAUCCCACUGACAAUAGCUGAAAUGGCCGACUUCCGACUGACCCUGGAAUGAACUGUCAAACCAUCCAGUUUGGGGCACACUGUUCCUGUUGUACCAUGCCCUCACAGAAGAUGUUGAUGAGUUGACAGAUCUCUGAUGGUGAACUUCUUCACAUUACGCGCCCAUCACAAUUUGGUGUAAAAUGAUCCUGAUACACAAGCCGAAAGUAACGUUAUGUCAGUCAGACCUCAAACAGGUAGAAUGCUCACCAGAGCAGAAGGGUUAAAAUCAGCAAGAGAUGGUGCCUCCCUUCCAAAUCGAGGCAGAUCAUUCCACACCUGUGGGGCUCUGAAGCUGAAUCCUCUGCCACCUGACUUCUUUCUCUGUAUGCAUGGAUUACUUUUCAUGGGACUGUCUUAUCUUGGAACAAAAAUGGAGUCUUUUUAUAUUAAGCAGGAGGGGGUUCUGGAAUUGGUACCUAUCUGCAUUAAACAGGAGAUGCCUGAACUGGAUCCUGGCCACAUUAAAGAAGAGUCUGAACUGGUGCCUGUCCACCUUAAAGAGGAAAAUACUGAAUUGGACCCUGUCCACAUUAAAGAGGAAGAGACUGAACUGGAGCCUGUCCACAGUAAAGAGACUAUUGACUUGCUUAAGGAUACAGACAAUAUAUCCCAGCCAAAGAUGUCACGUCAAUGUGCUGAAUGUGGGAAGGGCUUUAGUAAGUCAAGACACCUAAAAAAACAUCAGCGAAUUCACACUGGAGAGAAGCCCUAUAGCUGUAUUGAUUGUGGGAAGAGCUUCAUUGAGUCAGGAAACCUAAAAAGACACCAGCGAAUUCAUACUGGAGAGAAGCCGUAUCACUGUACUGAAUGUGGUAGAAGCUUCAUUGAGUCAGGAAGUCUAAAAAGACACCAGCGAAUUCACACUGGAGAGAAGCCGUAUCACUGUCUUGAAUGUGGGGAGCACUUCAGUCGGUUAGGAAAUCUAAAAAUACACCAGCGAAUUCACACUAGAGAGAAGCCGUAUCACUGUCUUGAAUGUGGAAAGAGCUUCAGUUGGUUUGGAAGGCUAAAUAUACACCAGCAAAUUCACACUGGAGCCAGCCUCUCUCCCUCCUAGUCCCUCACCUCUCCAUCCUACUUAUUUUAGUGUGUGGAGAGCUGACUGGGGCAGUGAUUCAAGAAUUUCAUGGAAUGGUGUAACAAUACACAUGUCUCUCUCCUCGCUCGCUCGCUCGCUCGCUCACUCACUCACUCACUGUGUCCCCAUGAGUGAGAGCCAGCCUGUAUACUUUGCUGAGUGUUUAAAUACUGAGAAACUCCAACCUUGUUGUAUACUGGAGCCCUUCUUCAGUGCAGUGGGAUUUAAUGGGUAGAUUGCUGUAUAUGCAAUUAUGAGGACAGCCCCACAAUGGUAGAGCUGUUUACUGUGAAAAAUAUAUGCAUAACAUACAUGCUUCACCAUUACCAUUAUUACUACAUUCAUAGUUUAUACAGUUUGUGAAUAAUUGAUAAAAACAAUCUGCAGAAUGCAGUUGCCUCAUUAAGCAGCUUCUUAAAGGAUCCCAGGGUGCCGGCUUCAACAACAUUAUUGGGAAGUUGGUUCCAGACCCUCACAAUUCUCUUUGUAAAAAAGUGCCUCCUAUUUUCUGUUCUGAAUGCCCCUUUAUCUAAUCUCCAUUUGUGACCCCUAGUCCUGGUUUCUUCUUUUUUCAGGUCGAAAAAGUUCCCUGGGUCGACAUUGUCAAUACCUUUUAGGAUUUUGAAUGCUUGAAUCAGAUCACCGCGUAGUCUUCUUUGUUCAAGACUGAACAGAUUCUAUUAUUUUAGCCUGUCUGCAUACGACAUGCCUUUUAAACCUGGGAUAAUUCUGUUCGCACUUCUUUGCACUCUUUCUAGAGCAGCAAUAUCCUUUUUGUAAUGAGGUGACCAGAACUGGGGACGCAGCUGAGAACAGACCAGACUCGGGGAUUUUGUUUUAGUUACAAUAACAAGAUGAGAAACAUUAUACACAGAACUCUGGUUUUGUUUCUAUGAAUAUAUUAAGACGUAGAAUAUCUUUGCAUUGUGUUGCAAUUUAAACAUUUUCAUUUAACAUAUUAAAAAGCUCAGCUUUCUAUUAGAAAUAGACUACAGCUAUGACCAAAGCUAUCCUCACUGUAGAAUGAACAAAAUGUGCUUUAUAAAUGUCGAAUGAAACCUGAAUAAUGUUUAACAUAUUAAAUUACACACCGCUUUGUAGUUUUCCAUAUCCUGAAAAGUGUUGAAUUUAAAUGAAGGGAAGUAAUGUUAAAACUGUACAAUGCAUUAGUAAGACCUCAUCUAGAAUAUUGUGUUCAGUUCUGGUCACCUCAUUACAAAAAGGAUAUUGCUGCUCUAGAAAGAGUGCAAAGAAGAGCAACCAGAAUUAUCCCGGGUUUAACCCUUUGCGGUCCUAUGUCGGAUCAGGUCCAACAUUACAAUUUUCCCUUUCCGGUCCGAAGUCGGACAUCAAAAAGACGUAAAAAAAACGGUCUCUAUUCGUUUUUUCUCCAAAAAAGCAGAGAAAACCAUUCAAUGGCGGAGUGAGACCGAUAGGAGCCGAGAGAA